rnacentral:rRNA from 1 species
CGUUUAGGUUUCUCUAGGUCGGUUGUCGUUGACGUUGCCGCCGGUAAUGAAAUGCCGGUCAAUGGUGGUUAGUGGUCAUGACAGUAUAAUUAUUUGAGUGGCGUUUGGAGGCAGCUUAAGCGCCGUGGGUUGGGUCGAGACGGCUUGACAUGACAGCCAGCGGCGGAGGCGGGCGCGCGCGUGUACCGCUGCCCCCCUCCUGCCGGGCCCCUAAAUUCAUUCGCUCUUAUGGGCCCCUCAGUGCGAAGGAGCAGCAGGAGAAGGAGGAGGGGUAGGGAGCGCCAGGCGGCGGCAUGUAGUGUACAGGAGGACGGCGCCGUCGACUCAUCGAUCGAGUCGAGUCGACUCUCACCCCCCUCCCGGCCGCUAUCACGUUCCCCCGUCGCCGGUACUCGACCUCCUCUCCCCCUCCCCUGCCCCGGCACCGGUCCGCCACCCACGAGGACGAGACGCGGCCCUCGAAGAGGGAGCCGGACGAGAAGUGGAGGCCCUACACCUGUAACGGGCUCCGUUGGCUCCAACGGUUCGGUUUGCUUUGUUCUCCCUUUCUCCGGCUCGAGCGGCGGCAUCUGACACUAAGAUGAUUCCAGCCUGCCUUUGUACUAAAGUCUCUAUGCGAUGUCCGGAACCUGUGAGUGUUGCGACAUGUCUGUGACCUGUUCUGCUAUCGUUUAGACCUCUGUCUCGAAAGCCGACGUUCCUGUGACGUCCUCAGUAAGGAGUUGCCGAGAGGCCAAAGCGUUCUCAUGUUCCGGAGGCUUAGCAGGCCUUCCGCGUUCAUGGAGUACCAGUAGCCGUAGUUGUGCCGAAAGUCAUCGGCAUUCUCCUCCCUAAGGUAGGCGUUGUGGACCUACGGUGUUCCUCUCUUCUCCUUUUUUGACCUUCUUCUCUUCCCGUAGUAUUAAGCAAAACAGUAACCAGUGUCACGAUAAAGUCCACCUUAACACCUGUCCCGUUAGCGCCGUCUCCUAUCCUUUGUACCUCUGAAGUACUCCGAACUAGUACACCUUCCUAUGGAACUUAAUAGACCUUUUUGGUUCUGUAUAAAACGCUGCCGACAACGAAAUACCCUACGAUUGAAGAUACAGUUUCAACUACUACUACACGUACAUUUAUAUCGGUGGGAACCCGUCUAAAACAGGUUUGUAUAAAGCUCCGGGUCCCAUAUAUGACCUACGUACUUCAGACCAGGACACGAUAGGCUGUUCCUUCAGUCUAUAAUACUUGGGCUCGUGACCUUUAAGCCCCUAUUUAUAAAGGCUGUACGGUGGCCAGUCGAAAUACGAUAAAGUUUUCUAAACCGUUGGAUGUAGAGGGAUUUAUUCGUACACAACGUGUUCAUACAGUUGCUCCUACAAAGAAACCCCCGAACCAAGUAUCCCAAUCUACAACUCGUAUAACUACUGGCAGCUGAUACGACGCCAUGGGGUGGUCUAACGCUCACCUUUCGGGUCCGCCCCUUGUGGACGCGCCGGAGUAAGCUGACCUCUACGUCGCCGUAUACGUUGUGGCACCUCUUGUAGGUCCCUCACGUGUUGUUUACGCCCCUCUCGCUUUUCCGCGAGACCUGGCGAAGAAAGAUUCGCUUUAGGCCCACUUCAAGUCUGACUGCUUCAACGAGACGACAUCAUAUCAUCAGGACUCAUACAACAUGUAACACGUACUUUGCACAAGUCAAGUAAGAACCCGGACAUCCAUCCACCAGCCAGUCCGCUACGGCCGCUUCGCCCGGCACCAAAAUGAGCCUCAGACGACCAGCGGCCGACUCCCCCGCGCAUAUACCCUACGAGCUAGAAAACCCCACAAACCCACCAGAAAAACAUUCCUGGAGUACAUGAGACAAGUACCAAUUGUUCUAUAUAUUUCGACAAGAAGUAAGAGGCCUGACAACUUACACGUCACGUCACGUCACGAUGUGAACCAAACCCGACGAAACUUA